UCCCUGGUAGUAUAUCGGUUUAGUACACGCGCCUGUCACGAGACCUCUGAAUCCUGAUCGUGGUUAUACCGCGCGAAAGCUGGGUUCGACUCCCAGCCAGGGAG